GUUUUUUUUCUCCAGCAGGGAGAGACUCACCACCUGUUUUUAAGAAUAUAAAGUUGGCGCUGAUUGGCCAGAAAACUCCUGGAUGUUGCAAUAUAGUGACUACCAACAGCCUGGGAAUAUUUACAACUUCUUCAAAUGUAUAUUUUUUUAAAUGUUUUUUUAAGACUGCUGCCAUAGUUGUUUGUGUGUUUGACUAUUGUACACUUUAGGGCUGUACUUUGUGUUCUUAGGUUCUGUUAAUCGAAACAUGGUCUAAGCAGAAAUAUCAAAAGCUAAACACCACACCAUAACACCAGCCUCAAAAAGGACAAAGGAGUUGGAUUAAAACCCCUGAGACCUCUGGUGUCUGCAUCAAUUACAACUUAACAUUUCUGAUAGGUAGCAUUUAUCAUAUUUGGAUG